AUCGAUCUAAUUAGAUGUCUAUUAAAUCCAUUAAAUUCCGAUAUUUUCGUUACAGGUGGGAAUACAUUCCGUCCGGUCAGAACUCGUCCCGCUUCGCUAUGCGAACGCGUGCAAAUCCAAACGUGGGACAGGCGCCAUCUGACGGCUAACUCGAGAACUAACGGAGAAAGGAAGCGGGACUCGAAAUUUCGCAGAAGCGACCCGACCAGGAAUAGCAAAAUAUGGCAGGACAUCCCCCAAAUUACUCACGCAUCGAUGAGCCACGACUCCCAUCCGGAAGUCAAAGAGGUGGUUAAAGGAUGGAAAACAACAGAGACGUUGGAAAACGGCGUACAUCGCUCCAAGAGUUUAAAUGGAAUCGAUAAAGACGAUCGUCAACCGGAAUGGAUCGAACUAAGCAAAAAAGUAACGAGUAAAAACAUCGAUUGGGAUAACUUGCCCACUGCCA